GGAGAGGUUAAACUGCUAGAGGAGGGAGUAGGAGAAAAGAAACUUAAUCUAAAAAGAUGGCGACUAAAACAGGCACACGGAGAAAUAAAUGGACUAAAGCAACAGGGCUGGCUCUGACAGGAAGCGGGGAUUCAGGACUUCAAAUACAAACAUUAUGAAAAACAAGCAACAUCUGCAAACACACCCUUCAAGUUCCAGAGGGAAAAACACAUCAGUGCUGCUGUGUCUUUAUCCUGUGGAAUCUAAACUAGAAUUGAGCGUGUUGCAGGCAAUCAAUAUUACUGUGCAAAUUAG